rnacentral:rRNA from 1 species
GACGAACGCUGGCGGCGUGCCUAAUACAUGCAAGUAGAACGCUGAAGGAGGAGCUUGCUCUUCUGGAUGAGUUGCGAACGGGUGAGUAACGCGUAGGUAACCUGCCUGGUAGCGGGGGAUAACUAUUGGAAACGAUAGCUAAUACCGCAUAACAGUAGAUGUUGCAUGACAUUUGCUUAAAAGGUGCAAUUGCAUCACUACCAGAUGGACCUGCGUUGUAUUAGCUAGUUGGUGGGGUAACGGCUCACCAAGGCGACGAUACAUAGCCGACCUGAGAGGGGGAGCGGCCACACUGGGACUGAGACACGGCCCAGACUCCUACGGGAGGCAGCAGUAGGGAAUCGUCGGCAAGGGACGGAAGUCUGACCGAGCAACGCCGCGGGAGUGAAGAAGGGUUUCGGAUCGUAAAGCUCGGUUGUAAGAGAAGAACGAGUGUGAGAGUGGAAAGUUCACACUGUGACGGUAACUGACCAGAAAGGGACGGCUAACUACGUG